rnacentral:lncRNA from 1 species
GACUAAACACUAGAUAAGAUCAGAUUUGUAUUGCCCUCACGUAUGGUAAAAUAAUAAAAAUUAAUGUUGUAACGGGGAGACAAUUUGUUCUUCAUUUUUGCAGUACUGAGUUAAACAAAGGAAACCUGUGGUAACUUGCUUCCAUCAAGACUCUAGCUUCUUAUUUGGCUCUUCAAACUUAUCUGUUGAAGUCCGAUGUUCAACCAUGCCUCCAGCAGCUCUCGCGGUGUAGAAAUACACGAUAAAAUGAAAUGAUGUCCUGCCACCAGCUAGCAGCCACGAGAUUGUUGGUCUUAGGAGCAAGACUGCUAACUAUAUCCUAAAUGCUGAGGCAUAUCACUGGAGAUAACUCAAUGCCAGAAAAGAGCAAGUCCAAUGAAGUUUUUGUUACAACAAUGCUGUGGCAGUUGUAUACUUAUUGAAGUUCCUAAAGAUCGGAUAUUAAUCAGAUCCAAAAGGAGAAGGAGGAGACAAGAUAAAUUUGCUGAUUAUGUAAUCGUUCAAAAAAUAUUAAAUUGAAACAUGAAACAUACAUAUAUUCAUGACAUGCCUGCAGUUUUGGAAGAUCCACCUAAGAAAAUGAUCAGAUCGAGUUCCUCAAAGCAGGGCUGAAACUCCUGGUUCUGCUAAGAACAUUCACAUAACAAUAUUAAAAACUGGAUUUCAUCAAAAUAUUUUAUGUCAAAUUAAAAAAAAGGAAGAUAUUGAUUUAUAUGUUUCCAAUGCCAGACCAAAUAAACAUUUUCCCCCUGAAAGAAAGUUCAGUUGAUCAAACACCACAAAAACUUUCAUUUAACUUGAUGAUCAGAUCGAAGAUUUGAUGGUCUUCCCACCAUUACAAAAAAUUGUCGCCAUUUACAGGCUACAAAAAGCUGCAAUAGGAAGCAUUUCGUUAAUUCACAGUUAAUAAUAAAAACAGCAAAUAGUUAUUUAAAUUAGUAUCUCUAUCAGUUAAUCAAUAUAUAACUACUAUCUUUACGAAGUAAGUCAAUCACAUACGAUUAAAAGUCAUUUCACUUCUCUUGUCCAUGUCAUUACUUACUAAUAUUACAACAUAGCGGCAACUACGAGUGCAUAAUAUUUAUACUUACUUUAGUGAUGCAAUAGGCUUUCCCGAAAUUUAAGUUUAGUUAGCCUAUUUUUCAGCAACAGCUUUAGCUUUUUGCCCCCUGUUGAGCGCUAAUUUUUUGUUUUAGUUUGAACCAUAGAACAGAGAAGAUUGAAAUUGAGUCUUCACUCUCCAAAACGAAUGCAGCUAUCUAGCCACAGCAGAGCAAACGUUAAACACUUAGAUUUGAUAAAUUUAAUUUCUAACAUAGCAACGUUAGAAAUUUAGAUUUGAUCAAUUUAAGCUGCUUGGCAAACAAGAAAAUGAAGGAAAACAGAGGAAACUGAAACAGAGCAUCUUAGAACUUCCAUUGAUUUCGAGUGAAAAAAAACUAUAAUAAUUACAAUAAUUAAUGCUAAUCCGCACAGUCUAGAAAUAUCUU